UACGUAGGGUGCGAGCGUUGUCCGGAAUUACUGGGCGUAAAGAGCUCGUAGGCGGUUUGUCGCGUCUGCUGUGAAGACGCGAGGCUCAACCUCGCGCCUGCAGUGGGUACGGGCAGACUAGAGUGCGGUAGGGGAGAUUGGAAUUCCUGGUGUAGCGGUGGAAUGCGCAGAUAUCAGGAGGAACACCGAUGGCGAAGGCAGAUCUCUGGGCCGUAACUGACGCUGAGGAGCGAAAGCGUGGGGAGCGAACAGG
rnacentral:rRNA from 1 species